AUGAUUUCUAGAGUUUUCUCUCUUCUCUCCCUUAGAUUCAUACAGCAACAAUUAAAUAUCAUUAGGGUUCUUGAAUAAUAGGCAUUUCAAGCUAUUCUAAGGUAUAAUUUAAGACAAGUUAAGGAGGACAACCUUUACCUUGAAGAAUUAAAGUCUUAGCAAGUGAUAGUUAUGUCCAGCAAGAUUAGUGAUCUGAAGAGAAGGAGCUUAAGUCAUACAUUUUGAAUUGUAUAGCAAUCUCAGGGGAAAAAUCCUAGCAUGGGACGAUCCCGAUUGGUAUGGAAGGGUGACAACUUAGGGGCGAAAUCCUAUCAUGUGCCGAUCUCGAUUGGUAUGGAAGGGUUGCAGCUCAAGGGCGAAAGCCUAGCAUGGGCCGAUCCCAAUUUGUAGAAUUAUGAGGACAGCGUCCUAGGGGUCAUUUGUAUCAUAUGUUGUAUAAAGGUUAUAAAGAACAGAAAAGUAAAGAAAAGAAUGUAACAUGCACGAUUCCACAAGUACAAAGCAAAGGUACAAGUACUGAACUAGUAGAUUUUCCCAAUAGAAGCACAGUAUACUCAGCGGAUGUUGGUGAGCUCCAGGUUGAUUUGGGGCUUUGCCGAGUCUUUACUAUGCGUAUUUUCAUAGUGGUACCAUCAUGGAUUCCAGUAGCGGCUUUGUAGACAUUGUAAAGUUAUCAUCUGUAUUCAUAGUUUCACUUGUCACAUAUAGCAGUUCAGCUAGUCAAAAGGUGUUGUAUAUGAAGCUUCAUCAGUAAUUUGCAUAGUAGUUUACUUUCCUAUCAUAGAUUACUUGUAAAGCAUAUGUUCAUAAGGUACUUGUCCACCUCACCUAGGUUUGGGGGUUGACAAAUUUGUACGAGGGGAGUUGUUGGCUCGUCAUAACAAUCCUGAAGAUUUGCAAGUUGACUUUGAACUUCAAGCGAUGAUGGAUCAUUUGAAGUUGAAAAUCAAGCUUCUGACACUAUUUGCUGCAACUUUUGAGGUCUCCCUAAAAAAUUUUGUUCCAAUUAGAACUUUUGGAAAAUCUCAACUUGCAGGAGAUAGCAUCUUUGUGAACUUUUGGCUUUCUUUAUUU